rnacentral:rRNA from 1 species
AAAACAUGUCCUUUUGAUUAUUAUUUAAGGUCUGACCUGCUCAAUGAGGUUUUAAAUAGCCGCGAUAACCUGAUCGUGCGAAGGUAGCAUAAUCAUUAGUUUUUUAAUUGGAAACUGGAAUGAAGGGUUGGACGAAAUUAGGACUGUCUCAGGUUAAUUUUAUUGGAAUUUUAUUUUUAGGUAAGAAAGCCUAAAUAAUUCUUAAAGACGAGAAGACCCUAUAGAGUUUUACAAUUAAUAAUUUGUUUAUAGUUUGGUAUUUUUAUUAUUCAUUUUUAAUAAUUGUUUAGUUGGGGUGAUUGAAGAAAUGAAUAAACUUCUUUUGAUUGUUAACAUUGAUUGAUGAUUAUUUGAUCCAUUAUUUAUGAUUAUAAGAUUAAAUUACCUUAGGGAUAACAGCGUAAUUUUUUUUGAGAGUUCCUAUCGAAAAAGAAGUUUGCGACCUCGAUGUUGGAUUAAAGUUUAUUAUUGGCGUAGAAGUUGAUUAAUUUGGUCUGUUCGACCAUUAAAACUUUACAUGA